UACGUAGGGUGCAAGCGUUGUCCGGAAUUAUUGGGCGUAAAGAGCUCGUAGGCGGCUCAGUAAGUCAGGUGUGAAAACUCCAGGCUCAACCUGGAGACGCCACCUGAUACUGCUGUGGCUAGAGUCCGGUAGGGGAGCAUGGAAUUCCUGGUGUAGCGGUUGAAAUGCGGUAGAUAUCAGGAGGAACACCUGUGGUGUAGACAGCUUUACUUGGACCACUUCUGACGCUUGA
rnacentral:rRNA from 1 species